GCCAGCUCUUUUUAGCACCCCUCCUUCUCUAUACUUGAGUGGGAAAAUGUGUCCAGGUCGAUUGAAAUCCUCGGGUUUUGAAUCAGCAGAUGCUAGAGCCAAAACUGUUUUUGCCCUAUCAUGUGCAGAUACACCUGUUGUGGUACCAUAUUUUGCAUCCACAGACACAGUGAAAGCAGUACUGAGUUUCUCCUCAUUUUCCUUUGGUGGCACCAUUAGUGGAAGUUGAAGCCUGUCUAGAUCUUCACCUUUCAUACUCACGCACACAAUUCCAGUUCCAUGUUUUACAAUGAAGGCCAUUGCUUCAGGUGUCACCAAUUGUGCUGCCAUUAUUAAAUCACCCUCAUUUUCUCGGUCUUCAUCAUCUACGACAAUUACCAUCUUGCCCUGACGAAUAUCCUCAAUAGCUUCCGGAAUAGAAGAGAAUCCUUCAACGGCAUGAUCCAAGUCAAAUUCAUCAACACCAGAGAGAAACCCACUGUUUGGAGUUAUUACGGUAGCAGGUGUUUCAAAAGCUGUUUCACCAGGUUGUUGCUUAAUUAUAGUUUGUUCGGCUCCAUGAUUAACAAAAGAACCUCUUUCUGCACCUUGGUUGUUAAAACAAGACAAAAUAUCAUCUUCUCCUGAUAAUAAUGUAGCCCGUAGUAAUCCUCUUCCACUUUUGAAGCUGAAGGGAAACUUUCUAGUAAAACUUAGCGAGGACAAAUCUGAUUUAUAGUUUGUCGUUGUUGGAUUGAUGAAAUACAGACCAUGGUCGGAUCUCAAAUGAGAAAAAACCAUUGAAUUUUGAAUUGAAGCCAUUAUUAUGCUGACCCAAUUUGAGUA
rnacentral:misc_RNA from 1 species